GCCCUGGUGGUGAAAUCGGUAGACACGUUGGACUUAAAAUCCAAUGAGGCUAAUACCCUCGUGCCGGUUCAAGUCCGGCCCAGGGCA
rnacentral:tRNA from 2 species